AUUGAACGCUGGCGGCAGGCCUAACACAUGCAAGUCGAGCGGAUGAAGGGAGCUUGCUCCUGGAUUCAGCGGCGGACGGGUGAGUAAUGCCUAGGAAUCUGCCUGGUAGUGGGGGAUAACGUCCGGAAACGGGCGCUAAUACCGCAUACGUCCUGAGGGAGAAAGUGGGGGAUCUUCGGACCUCACGCUAUCAGAUGAGCCUAGGUCGGAUUAGCUAGUUGGUGGGGUAAAGGCCUACCAAGGCGACGAUCCGUAACUGGUCUGAGAGGAUGAUCAGUCACACUGGAACGGAGACACGGUCCAGACUCCUACGGGAGGCAGCAGAGGGGAAUAUUGGACGAUGGGCGAGAGACUGAUCCAGCCAUGCGGCGGGUGUGAAGAAGGGCUGCGGAUUGUAAAGCACUUUAAGUUGGGAGGAAGGGCAGUAUGUUAAUACCUUGCUGUUUUGACGGUACCAACAGAAUAAGCACCGGCUAACUUCGUG
rnacentral:rRNA from 1 species